rnacentral:rRNA from 1 species
AGACCCGAAACCCGGUGAUCUAGCCAUGGGCAGGUUGAAGGUUGGGUAACACUAACUGGAGGACCGAACCGACUAAUGUUGAAAAAUUAGCGGAUGACCUGUGGCUGGGGGUGAAAGGCCAAUCAAACCGGGAGAUAGCUGGUUCUCCCCGAAAGCUAUUUAGGUAGCGCCUCGUGAAUUCAUCUCCGGGGGUAGAGCACUGUUUCGGCUAGGGGGUCAUCCCGACUUACCAACCCGAUGCAAACUGCGAAUACCGGAGAAUGUUAUCACGGGAGACACACGGCGGGUGCUAACGUCCGUCGUGAAGAGGGAAACAACCCAGACCGCCAGCUAAGGUCCCAAAGUCAUGGUUAAGUGGGAAACGAUGUGGGAAGGCCCAGACAGCCAGGAUGUUGGCUUAGAAGCAGCCAUCAUUUAAAGAAAGCGUAAUAGCUCACUGGUCGAGUCGGCCUGCGCGGAAGAUGUAACGGGGCUAAACCAUGCACCGAAGCUGCGGCAGCGACGCUUAUGCGUUGUUGGGUAGGGGAGCGUUCUGUAAGCCUGUGAAGGUGGCCUGUGAGGGUUGCUGGAGGUAUCAGAAGUGCGAAUGCUGACAUAAGUAACGAUAAAGCGGGUGAAAAGCCCGCUCGCCGGAAGACCAAGGGUUCCUGUCCAACGUUAAUCGGGGCAGGGUGAGUCGACCCCUAAGGCGAGGCCGAAAGGCGUAGUCGAUGGGAAACGGGUUAAUAUUCCCGUACUUGGUGUUACUGCGAAGGGGGGACGGAGAAGGCUAUGUUGGCCGGGCGACGGUUGUCCCGGUUUAAGCGUGUAGGUGUGUGUUCCAGGUAAAUCCGGUUCACUUUAACACUGAGGCGUGAUGACGAGGCACUACGGUGCUGAAGCAACAAAUGCCCUGCUUCCAGGAAAAGCCUCUAAGCAUCAGGUAACAUCAAAUCGUACCCCAAACCGACACAGGUGGUCAGGUAGAGAAUACCAAGGCGCUUGAGAGAACUCGGGUGAAGGAACUAGGCAAAAUGGUGCCGUAACUUCGGGAGAAGGCACGCUGACACGUAGGUGAAGUGAUUUACUCACGGAGCUGAAGUCAGUCGAAGAUACCAGCUGG